AUUGAACGCUGGCGGCAGGCUUAAUACAUGCAAGUCGAGCGAGCGGCGGACGGGUGAGUAAUGUCUGGGAAACUGCCUGAUGGAGGGGGAUAACUACUGGAAACGGUAGCUAAUACCGCGUACCAUAGGAUGAGCCCAAGUGGGAUUAGGUAGUUGGUGAGGUAAAGGCUCACCACGCCGACGAUCUCUAGCUGGUCUGAGAGGAUGAUCCGCCACACUGGUACUGAGACACGGCCCAGACUCCUACGGGAGGCAGCAGUGGGAAAUAUUGCACAAUGGGCGCAAGCGUGAUGCAGCCAUGCCGCGUGUAUGAAGAAGGCCUUCGGGUUGUAAAGUACUUUCAGUCGGGAGGCGUUACCGACAGAAGAAGCACCGGCUAACUCCGUGCCAGCAGCCGCGGUAAUUC
rnacentral:rRNA from 1 species